GGUUACCUACGGGAGGCAGCAGUGGGGGAUAUUGCACAAUGGGGGAAACCCUGAUGCAGCGACGCCGCGUGUGGGAAGACGGUCCUCUGGAUUGUAAACCACUGUCCCCAGGGACGAAGAUGGCGGUACCUGAGUAAGAAGCCCCGGCUAACUACGUGCCAGCAGCCGCGGUAAUACGUAGGUGGCAAGCGUUAUCCGGAUUUACUGGGUGUAAAGGGCGUGUAGGCGGGAAAGCAAGUCAGAUGUGAAAACCAUGGGCUCAACCUGUGGCCUGCAUUUGAAACUGUUUUUCUUGAGUACUGGAG
rnacentral:rRNA from 1 species